rnacentral:lncRNA from 1 species
CCUCUUCCCUCCUUCCUUCUAGUAAUUCAUCAGGUCUGGCAAAGUGACUGCAGACUCUAAGCAAUUCCCUUCUUGUUGUGUGUUGGGAAUUGUAUUUGAAAGCCCUCUGGCAGCUCAAUUAUCAUGGACAGUUUAGUAGGACCAAAUGUAAUAAGCAGAAAAUCACAGAAGUAACAUUUUACAUCUAUUUCAGACAGUCUGAAUGAUGUCCUGGCCAUGAACUGUAUAUAAUUACAUGUCAAAAUUCCCUGGAUCCACUCCUCAUGUAAUUGUGUAAUUUGCACAAGUAAAAUAGUGAUCUA